rnacentral:misc_RNA from 1 species
UCAAGUGCGGCAUAGCCCCUUGGCCGGGGCCCCCGGUUUCUUGCGUUGCGUACCUGCACGAUGGCAUCUGUUUUUAGUCCCAACGACCCUCGUUCGUUUAGUGCUCCCCGUUUCGGUUGGCGGGGGCACAGGGCGAAACUUGUAGCUUGGUCCGUUACCCACGUCGCGUCCGGGCGUCGUGGUGAGCGGGGCACUGCUUAAGCUCUCGGAUAUGGAAAGCAUUGAGGGCAUUGACAUCUCGUCCUUGCCCGAGCAUGCAUUAGAUUGGACCCCAAGACCGGUGCACGACUGUCGCUCCCGCCCCGGUUCGGCCGUGCGGUGAGGACGUCGUUGAGGAAUGCUACCUGGUUGAUCCUGCCAGUA